rnacentral:rRNA from 1 species
AAAUUGAAGAGUUUGAUCAUGGCUCAGAUUGAACGCUGGCGGCAGGCCUAACACAUGCAAGUCGAACGGUAACAGGAAACAGCUUGCUGUUUCGCUGACGAGUGGCGGACGGGUGAGUAAUGUCUGGGAAACUGCCCGAUGGAGGGGGAUAACUACUGGAAACGGUAGCUAAUACCGCAUAACGUCGCAAGACCAAAGAGGGGGACCUUCGGGCCUCUUGCCAUCGGAUGUGCCCAGAUGGGAUUAGCUAGUAGGUGGGGUAACGGCUCACCUAGGCGACGAUCCCU